rnacentral:rRNA from 2 species
GGACUACACGGGUAUCUAAUCCCGUUUGCUCCCCUGGCUUUCGUGCCUCAGCGUCAGGAAAUGUCCAGAGACUCGCCUUCGCCACUGGUGUUCCGCUCGAUAUCUACGCAUUUCACUGCUACACCGAGCAUUCCAGUCUCCCCUCCAUUCCUCGAGCCAGAUAGUAUCCAAUGCAGUUUCGGAGUUAGGCUCCGAGAUUUCACAUCAGACUUACCUGACCGCCUACGCACCCUUUACGCCCAGUGAAUCCGAACAACGCUUGGGACCUCUGUAUUACCGCGGCUGCUGGCAC